rnacentral:rRNA from 1 species
CCCUUCAGAGGGGGACAACAGUUGGAAACGACUGCUAAUACCGCAUACGAUCCAAUCUCGGCAUCGGGACUGGAUGAAAGGUGGCCUCUAUUUAUAAGCUAUCACUGAAGGAGGGGAUUGCGUCUGAUUAGCUAGUUGGAGGGGUAACGGCCCACCAAGGCGAUGAUCAGUAGCCGGUCUGAGAGGAUGAACGGCCACAUUGGGACUGAGACACGGCCCAG